rnacentral:rRNA from 1 species
UACGUAGGGUGCGAGCGUUGUUCGGAAUCACUGGGCUUAAAGAACGCGCAGGCGGCUGGUCAAGUCCGAUGUGAAAUCUCCCGGCUCAACUGGGAACGGUCAAGUGAUACUGUCGGACUAGAGUACAGAAGGGGCAACUGGAAUUCUCGGUGUAGCGGUGAAAUGCGUAGAUAUCGAGAGGAACACCUGCGGCGAAGGCGGGUUGCUGGGCUGAUACUGACGCUGAGGCGCGAAAGCCAGGGGAGCGAACGGG